rnacentral:rRNA from 1 species
AAAGUACCGUGAGGGAAAGUUGAAAAGCACUUUGAAGAGAGAGUUAAAGAGGACGUGAAACCGGUGAGGUGGAAACGGGUAGAGUCGACGUAUCUUGCAAGUAUUCAUUUACAUUAUCUUUAUGUUGUGAGCUCUGAGCUCCAGAUUGGGACAGAGUAAAGCAACGUGAUGUUUUGUGAUGCAUUUGCUUGUUUGGUGUGUGGGGAUACCUAAGACAGAUUUGCAACCAUCAUUUUGAGGCUAGCUUGCUUGUACCCAAAUGGUGUUAGUAUUUUUUNUUUUGGGUAUUUGAGUAUGGCUUACGGGCAUUAAUUGGUUCGGUCUGAGGGUAAGUUACGGUCGCAUGCGAUACGUGCUUUUCAGUUAGUCCGAUCCAGUUUAUGCUUUCAUACUCUUUCCCCAUGUAAAAGUCGGUCAUCUAUCCGACCCGUCUUGAAACACGGACCAAGGAGUUUAUCGUGUGCGCGAGUUUUUGUGUGUUGAAAACCUAAAAGCUAAAUGAAAGUAAAUGACUCUUUGAGUCUGAUGUGCGAUCUUUUUUUAAAAAAGUGCAGCAUGGCCCCAUUCUAACUGUUUACAGUAGGGUGGCGGAAGAGCGUACGCGGUGAGACCCGAAAGAUGGUGAACUAUUCCUGAGCAGGACGAAGCCAGAGGAAACUCUGGUGGAAGUCCGAAGCGGUUCUGACGUGCAAAUCGAUCGUCUGACU